rnacentral:rRNA from 1 species
UACGUAGGGUGCAAGCGUUAAUCGGAAUUACUGGGCGUAAAGCGUGCGCAGGCGGUUAUGUAAGACAGUUGUGAAAUCCCCGGGCUCAACCUGGGAACUGCAUCUGUGACUGCAUAGCUAGAGUACGGUAGAGGGGGGAUGGAAUUCCGCGUGUAGCAGUGAAAUGCGUAGAGAUGCGGAGGAACACCGAUGGCGAAGGCAGCCCCCCCUGGGCUAACACUGACGCUCAGGCACGAAAGCGUGGGGGAGCAAACAGG